CACCUAGGGCGCAAUGGAAUAUUCCAUUGCCCCUCCUGUCCUGGGUCUGUGUUGCGGGGAACGCUCGCGCGGUUGCCAGAGAAAGCCCCGGACGUGACGGAUUUGCGCGACCCCAAGCAGCCCGCCCUUCCCCCUCCCAUCCGUCAUUCCCCUGCGCUCUCUUUCCUCACCCUUCCCCCCGCCACCGUGGGUUCCAGACUUGGGAUAAGUAAACAGCGGGUGGAGCGAGGCCUACGGACCCAGGCCAGGUGGGAGUCUGCACUCUUCAAGGGGCCUGGGCUGCUGCUCACGGGUAUUAAAGAACUCCGCGUUGUUCAUGGCUGAGGCGAUGCAUUAGGAAGAUCCUGGACCUAGAGAACAAGUCCCCCGAACGCUGAGUUGGAGGCGGGACUUCGGGUGCGCGUUGGCGGGAGCAUGCUGGGGCUCUGCGGGCAGCGGCUCCCCGCGGCGUGGGUCCUGCUUCUGUUGCCUUUCCUGCCGCUGCUGCUGCUUGCAGCCCCCGCGCCCCACCGCGCGUCCUACAAGCCGGUCAUCGUGGUGCAUGGGCUCUUCGACAGCUCGUACAGCUUCCGCCACCUGCUGGAAUACAUCAAUGAGACACACCCCGGGACUGUGGUGACAGUGCUCGAUCUCUUCGAUGGGAGAGAGAGCUUGCGACCCCUGUGGGAACAGGUGCAAGGGUUCCGAGAGGCUGUGGUCCCCAUCAUGGCAAAGGCCCCUCAAGGGGUGCAUCUCAUCUGCUACUCGCAGGGGGGCCUUGUGUGCCGGGCUCUGCUUUCUGUCAUGGAUGAUCACAACGUGGAUUCUUUCAUCUCCCUCUCCUCUCCACAGAUGGGACAGUAUGGAGACACGGACUACUUGAAGUGGCUGUUCCCCACCUCCAUGCGGUCUAACCUCUAUCGGAUCUGCUAUAGCCCCUGGGGCCAGGAAUUCUCCAUCUGCAACUACUGGCAUGAUCCCCACCACGAUGACUUGUACCUCAAUGCCAGCAGCUUCCUGGCCCUGAUCAAUGGGGAAAGAGACCAUCCCAAUGCCACAGUAUGGCGGAAGAACUUUCUGCGUGUGGGCCACCUGGUGCUGAUUGGGGGCCCUGAUGAUGGUGUUAUUACUCCCUGGCAGUCCAGCUUCUUUGGUUUCUAUGAUGCAAAUGAGACCGUCCUGGAGAUGGAGGAGCAACUGCCUGCCAGGCCCACCCACCAGUCUGAGCUGCUUCUGCUGAGGCUGGUCUGCUUGAAGCCUCCCAGGAGAAAGAAGCCAGCCUGUAGGGUCCAGCGUCAAAGCGAAUCAUGGGGUCCAGGGCUGAGCUGUGCACUCUCUUAGGCGGAUUCUCCUUCCUCCUGCUACUGAUACCAGGCGAGGGGGCCAAGGGUGGAUCCCUCAGAGAGAGGUGACAACAGAGGGGGUAGGGCCCGGGGUGAGCUCUUCUCAGGAGCCUUCUGCUGGGGGUGGGGCUUCACAGGAGGCAAAACAUAACUGUAAGUUUAGAAUGGGGGUGAGAGGCUGUCAUCUGGAGGGAGAGCGGGGGGCCUCAGUAGCCUCUUGAGGGAAGUGGGACUCCUGGCUCCCCAGGGCCUGGCCUACUCAAUCUCUCCCACCUCAUCCUCUGGCAUGGACGCAGUCAGGGAGUCUGCUCCAAGCAGACACUGGUGGUCCCGCUCCACUACAACGAGUCCUACAGCCAACCAGUGUACAAGCCCUACCUGACCUUGUGCGCUGGGAGGCGCAUCUGCAGCACUUACAGGACCAUGUACCGCGUUAUGUGGCGGGAGGUGAGGCGGGAGGUUCAGCAGACCCAUGCAGUGUGCUGCCAGGGCUGGAAGAAGCGGCACCCGGGGGCGCUCACCUGUGAAGCCAUCUGCGCCAAGCCUUGCCUGAACGGAGGCGUCUGCGUUAGGCCUGACCAGUGCGAGUGCGCCCCCGGCUGGGGAGGGAAGCACUGUCAUGUGGACGUGGAUGAAUGUAGGACCAGCAUCACCCUCUGCUCGCACCAUUGUUUUAAUACGGCAGGCAGCUUCACCUGCGGCUGCCCCCAUGACCUAGUGCUAGGCGUGGACGGGCGCACCUGCAUGGAGGGGUCCCCAGAGCCCCCAACCAGUGCCAGCAUACUCAGCGUGGCCGUUCGGGAGGCGGAAAAAGAUGAGCGCGCUCUGAAGCAGGAGAUUCACGAGCUGCGAGGGCGCCUGGAGCGGCUGGAGCAGUGGGCCGGUCAGGCUGGGGCCUGGGUCAGAGCGGUGCUGCCCGUGCCGCCUGAAGAGCUGCAGCCAGAACAGGUGGCUGAGCUGUGGGGCCGGGGUGACCGGAUCGAAUCUCUCAGCGACCAGGUGCUGCUGCUGGAGGAGAGGCUAGGUGCCUGCUCCUGUGAGGACAACAGCCUGGGCCUCGGCGUCAAUCAUCGAUAAGAAGCCUCUACAGCACCCCUGCCCCCUAAUUUAUACAGAAACCGGACCCACUAAUCCUCUGGGAUUGGCCGACUGUGAGCUGCAGAUAAGGCUAUCAGCCACCAAAGAGCAAUGAACAAUGGAAACUUCAGAGAGCUGAAGAAAGGGGGAGGCCUGUGUUCUUGGCCUGCCCCUGAGUCUUCUGGCUGGGGGCAGGUUGCCUGGGCAAGAACUGCUUCUUCAAUUCCUUAACAAAUGCAACCACCAACACCCAGAUCUCUCUCUCUCUUUAUUUUCAGUUUUUUUGCUGUUAUCCAGAUAAUUAAUAAAAACCAACCACGCAAAACUGG